rnacentral:rRNA from 1 species
AGAGUGAACGCUGGCGGCAGGCCUAACACAUGCAAGUCGAACGGCAGCACAGCAGAGCUUGCUCUGUGGGUGGCGAGUGGCGGACGGGUGAGGAUAACGUCGGAAUCUGCCUAUUUGUGGGGGAUAACGUAGGGAAACUUACGCUAAUACCGCAUACGACCUACGGGUGAAAGCGGAGGACCUUCGGGCUUCGCGCAGAUAGAUGAGCCGACGUCGGAUUAGCUAGUUGGCGGGUAAAGGCCCACCAAGGCGACGAUCCGUAGCUGGUCUGAGAGGAUGAUCAGCCACACUGGAACUGAGACACGGUCCAGACUCCUACGGGAGGCAGCAGUGGGGAAUAGUUGGACAAUGGGCGCAAGCCUGAUCCAGCCAUGCCGCGUGUGUGAAGAAGGCCUUCGGGUAGUAAGCUACGUUUGUACGGAAGAAAGCGACCGGAUUAAUACCCGUGGCGUCAGUGACGGUAACCGUAAG